GGGCUGAGAGAAGAGGGCCUGGAACCAGUCUGUUGAGUGUAACGAGGGACAAUGCUAAGUGUGUUAUGAUCUCAUUAAAAGUACAUAGAAACUUGAGAUAUGCAGUAAUUCACUAACAAACCGAGUGUUACAAGACAUGCUAAGACCUUGUGUCAUAAAUACUUGUGCAUUUACUUGAUCUCCCCGCUUUAGGGCCAGGACUGAGUUUUGUACUCGUUGUAUCAGGGCAUCUUGCCCCAGACCUGUCACCCACUAGAAUUUGUUGUUAAACAAAUGAGGCUUCCUUCCUUAUGUGGCCCCCCACCCCUCUUCUAAAGAGGACAAUUAAAGUACGAGAGAACGGAUGAGAUUAGAACGCUGGUGGGACUGAGAUGGGAAAGGACCUUAAAGGUUAUUCGUCCAAAGAAGAAAACCAGCCUUUUCCCGGCAGACGGAAACUGACGCGCUCCCCCUGGAGGCAGCGCAGGAUGCUCCCGGGAGUCCAGGCGUCCCAGCUUGGGGUCCCCAUCCUCGUGUGCAGUCAGGGCACUGGUGGGAACCCUGGGCUCCAGGCGGCCCUCGCGCUUGGCGCUGGUACAAGUCGGGGUAACCUUACGGCUUGUGCAUCCAGAGAAGCGAGGUCCCUGGUGGAGACUAGCUUGGGAUAGGUUGGGGAGACGCCCUCCGUUCUUCUAGAUGGCUGGGGUCUCAACAGCAAGCAGUGGGGAAUAAGACUUACUGAACAAACCCUGAGACUGUUAAAGGAGUGCAUACUAUCAAAGGGACAGGCAUCCCCUGUGAACCUACUGAUGAAUUUUUCCUAAUGCUUAAUUUAGCUUGUGGACAGAAAUGCUGGGGCGAGACACGGCCAAGUCCGUCCUGUUCCUCCAGGGAAAUCCCCUCUCCGCCCUCCCUCUCCAUCUCCAUCUCCUCUUGCCCACCUCCUCCUCCUCCCCUUCUCCCCCAUCCCACCGCGCCCACCCCGCGUCAUCGCCCCCUUUCCCCUCCCACCUCCCGGCCGUGGUGCGGCGCUGCUCUCUCCUCCUCCGCAGUCUCGGCGGGAGCUCCGGGUGCUGUGGCCCGGCCUUGGCUGGGCGGCCUUCGGCUCAGGCUGGCUGAGAGGCUCCCAGCUGCAGCGUCCCCGCCCGCCUCCUCGGGAGCUCUGAUCUCAGCUGACAGUGCCCUCGGGGACCAAACAAGCCUCGCAGCCAUUUCUCUCUGCAGUUAUUCAGAAUCAUCUGGCCAGGCCCCAGUGUCUCCCUGUUGUGUGUCAAUCCUGAGUAGGUGGAGGAUGAAAGUAGAGAAGAUGAGAGCAUGUCCUCGAAUUUAGGUAUGCGUGUAAACACAGCCAGUGGUGCUGGGAAGGACAGGUGUUGGGAUUGCAGAUGGCUAAAUAGAGGACAGCCAAGUUUUAAAAGGUGGUCAUGCAAUCAUUGGUGUGUCCUAACAUACACACUAAGGUAGAGGGUGGUGUUGGCCCUACAGGGUCAUUGAUAUGACUGAGUAGUUCCUGACCCACAGCAGCCUCCCAGGAACUGUUUGACAGAUCAAUGCAAAGUCGUGUCGCAUGGCAACAUACUAUAUACAUAAAUAUGGACAAGUUCCUCACUAGACAUUACAAGGAACCAGGUGAAAAGAAAGGCAUGAGUAAUUGCGAAUCUGUCACCUGGAAAGGGAAAGCAAUUCAGUGCAGGUCCUUCAGUGUUAAGUCAGCAUCUUUGCUUUCUCAUAGACAGGAAAAAUAACUGAUUUGAAAUAUUAAUACAGUGGGCAGCCUUCUAAUCUUUCAUUAGUUUGCCUGCUCUAUCUAAGCUAGAAUAUAAACUUCUAGGGUAAAAAACAAAACACAAAAGAGAAACUGAGCCUUAAGGUAUAAUGUCAUUUCAUCAUAGGAUUCUAUAUACUCUAGAUAGACUCACUCAAAAAGUUGAGUUUUUCUUUCAUUGUAGAUCACUCCCUUAGAGUAAUUAUGUUGACAUAGACUCUGUUUCUUUUUAGACUGAGGGUCUGAUGCAGUUCCAAAAUUCCCAGUGAAGAUCCACGCUAUAAAUAAGACACAGAAAAUGCAAUUUAAGUGUUUUGUGGCUGCAGAGUGUUUAAUCACACUUAAGUUUAAUAGCAAUGAAAAAAAUAUAUUACAGAGGCAUGGAUAUUCAUAGAAAUGAGUAAUUAGGAAAGCAUUCAUUUGGGAAGUCUCUAAAGUGAAGCUGUCCUUGAACAAAAAACAAAACAAAACAAAGAAAAAGGGAAUUUUAGAGUGAGUUGGAAACUAUCUAUCUUGAAAUAAAAAUAUUUGACUGUGAAACUGACUUUUUAGAACACUACAAGGUCUCUAAUUUUGGCUUAUAUAACAACCUGUUCUGAAGUGAUACAAAUUCACCAAUUAAGGUAGGAUAAUAAUUAUAAAAUAACAUGUGUUAACUGCUUACUAUCCUCUGGGCUCAAUAGUAAUUCUUUGCAUGUAUCAUCUCAUUUAAUCUCUAUAACAAUGUUAUGAAGUUGAAAUUAUUGUAAUAUUAUCCCCACUUUGCAGAUGAGGAAAGUGAAACUUUGAGAGUUAAUGAAAUGUCCACAUGUACAUGCCUCAUAAGUGGUGAAGAGGGAAUUGAACCCAAGCCUUCCCACUCCUUGGUCUGCACUCAUAACCACUAUGCUGGAACAGAUACAGAAAUAUUCUCAACGCUGAGAGCAGUCACAUUUCUAAGAAACUAUAAACAAAUAACAAAAGGGUAAUAGUAAGUGAUCUCGUAGUUAAGUGUGGUCACGUCUGUUAAUAGAUUGGGUACAAAUGUGUAAUUACAUCUCUUCCAUCAGUAAGAGUUCGUCUACGUACACAGACAUUCUUACUUCCUCCUUAAUUCCCUUCUACUCAAUCUGUCUUCAGGAUCUAACCUAUAAUCAGCUGUGUGUGUGCUGACUCACAGUGGUGGACAGCAAUCACUGCAACUUUGCUUUCAUUCACCAAAAUUGGAAUUUGAAGCCCCAAAUCCAAGCCAUCUGGAAAUGGACAGUGAAGGUCACAAUUAUAUUGCAAGACAGGAAAAAUGAGGGGGAUGGGGAAGACAAGGGACGUUAGACUUUCAACAUUUUAUAGCUGCCCCUUCAAUCGGGACUGUGUCUUUUUAGAUCAACGAGUUAGUCCUUUUUAGACAAUGGACAUAUGUAGAUAUCCACUGAACAAACUGUGGAUUGUUCUAUCAGUAAGAGCUAUCAUUUAUGCCACAUUGACAUUUUACCACAAGACAAACUUAGAUUUUCCAAAAGAAAGUAUCCUUAAACAUUUGCCCAAUUUUAAAUUACAGGCCAAAUUAGGCUAAAUCCGUGUCCUCUUAUUACUGUGAUUCUGAGGUCAUAUUACAAAGCUCUGCCCUUCCCAUGCCCAAGGGUAGACGUGGGCAUGGUUUUUAUUCCUGUGGUGCACUGCAUAGAGCUCCCUCGAAGGGCACCAGGCAGGGCUGGUGAACCAAUGCCAU
rnacentral:lncRNA from 1 species